rnacentral:rRNA from 1 species
GCCAGCAGCCGCGGUAAUACGUAGGUGGCAAGCGUUGUCCGGAAUUAUUGGGCGUAAAGCGCGCGCAGGUGGUUCUUUAAGUCUGAUGUGAAAGCCCACGGCUCAACCGUGGAAGGUCAUUGGAAACUGGGGAACUUGAGUGCAGAAGAGGAAAGUGGAAUUCCAAGUGUAGCGGUGAAAUGCGUAGAUAUUUGGAGGAACACCAGUGGCGAAGGCGACUUUCUGGUCUGUAACUGACACUGAGGCGCGAAAGCGUGGGGAGCAAACAGGAUUAGAUACCCUGGUAGUCCACGCCGUAAACGAUGAGUGCUAAGUGUUAAAGGGUUUCCGCCCUUUAAUGCUGGCACCAACGCAUUAAGCACUCCGCCUGGGGAAGACGGGCGCAAGAAUGAAACUCCAAGGAAUUGACGGGGGCC